GCCUUCGUGGUGCAGUGGUCAGCACGCUCGGCGCGUAUUCGAGAGGUCCGUGGUUCGAAUCCCGGCGAAGGCU
rnacentral:tRNA from 1 species